UGGGGGUUUCCUCGAAGACAUGCAUGUAGGCUGAUUGGAAUCUCUAAAUUGUCCACAGUGUGUGAAUGGGUGUGUGAGUGUGUGUGCGAUUGUGCCCUGCGAUAGGUUGGCACCCUGUCCCCUGGGAUAAGCUCCUGUGUUGAGAUUAGCAGUCCAGAAGAUGGGUGGAUAACUGUUGGAUUUUGUUCCCUUUAUCACCCAUCGUCACAGAGUCUCAGCUGAUCCUUUCACCACUGAUCACCUCAGUGAUAAAAAGUGCCAGUGUUGUCAGUGUCAUUGUGAAUACCAAGUAAACAAAAGAAAGAUGUAUAAUAGAAGCAGG